rnacentral:rRNA from 1 species
CAGUAGCCGCGGGAAUACGUAGGGGGCGAGCGUUGUCCGGAAUCAUUGGGCGUAAAGCGCGUGUAGGCGGCUCGAUAAGUCUGCUGUGAAAGUCCAGGGCUCAACCCUGGGAUGCCGGUGGAUACUGUCGAGCUCGAGUCCGGAAGAGGAGUGUGGAACUCCUGGUGUAGCGGUGAAAUGCGCAGAUAUCAGGAGGAACACCGAUAGCGAAGGCAGCACUCUGGUACGUGACUGACGCUGAGACGCGAAAGCGUGGGGAGCAAACAGGAUUAGAUACCCCAGUAGUCCCUGUCUCUUAUAC